UACAAAGACAUCUUUUUUUCUUUUUUUCUUUUGACCAUAAUACAUUUUUUCUUUUAUAAAAUACAAAAAAAUUAUUUUAAAAUUAUUUUAAAAAUUAUUUGAAAAAAUUAUUUUUUAAUUAAUUUUUUCAAAAAAUUAGUAGAUCUAUAAAACAAAAGGCCAAUUUGCAUAAAAAAUCCAUUUAUUUUGGGCUUUUGCAAAACCGGGCCACCUUUUUCGUUUUUGCAAAUUCGGUCCGCUUUUUCAGCAAACUGACCAAAAUACCCUUAUUACUUUUUCUCUUUCCUCUUUCUCUCUCCUCUUCGUUCUCUCGUUCUUUUUUUUUUUUUCUCCGAAAAAAAAAAGCGACGGCCAGAGCACCGCCAGGCGGGCUCUUCUUCUUCUUCUUCUUCCUGCAGGAGCAAUUUUUUUUUUCUUUUUCUUUUUCUUCUUCUUUCUACCGCUGGAGCAUUUUUUUUUUCCCUCUUCUUCUUCUUCUUCUUUUUCUUUUUCUUCCUGUAAGAGCACGGGGCGCGCUCGUCAACCUCCCCCGCGCCGACCUCGAGCCCGACCACCACCGCGAGGGCGCAACCGGUGCCGGCGCCGGCGCCGCGCGUUCCUACUAGUUGCCCGAGGAAGGCCGCGCGUCGGACUACGAGCCCGACCGCUCGACCCCGACGCCCUGCUCAAGCCGGGGAAGCUCUACUUCCUCCCCCGCGCCGACCCCGAGCCCGACCACCGCCGCG
rnacentral:lncRNA from 1 species